GUGUCAGCAGCCGCGGUAAAACGUAGGGGACAAGCGUUAUCCGGAUUUACUGGGCGUAAAGCGCAUGUAGGUGGCUUGCCAAGUUGGACGUGAAAGCUCCUGGCUUAACUGGGAGAGGUCGUUCAAAACUGGCAGGCUUGAGGUUGAAAUAGGAGAGUAGAAUUCCCGGUGUAGUGGUGGAAUGCGUAGAUAUCGGGAGGAAUACCAGUGGCGAAAGCGGCUCUCUGGUUCAAUACUGACACUGAGAUGCGAAAGCGUGGGGAGCGAACGGGAUUAGAUACCCGAGUAGUCC
rnacentral:rRNA from 1 species